GGGGUUGUAGCUCAGCGGAAGAGCAUCUGUUUUACAUGUAGAUGGUCCUAGGUUUAAUCCCCAGCAUCUCUA